AAAAAAAAAAAAAAAAAAAAAUGAUAAUAAUAAUAAUAAACUUGAUUUUAAUUUGUUUCAUUCGUUUUUCCAUUGGUUG
rnacentral:ribozyme from 1 species